CCAAGAUGUACGUAGAUUUUUUUGACAAUAUGUCAUCUUUCAUUCCUACUAUUCAGAUAUAUCCGAGGCUGAAUUUAUUAGCUUGUAUUGUUCAGUAUAAGAAUGGGUAGUGUUUGUGUGGCAUAUAGGCGUUUUUAUUAAUUCAGAAUAAGUGCAGCUCUUAACCUAUACACUUUUUCAUCAACAGACGCGGACCUCAAUUCAAAUUUUAGCUUGCCGAUUAUGUCUCUCUACAUUAGAGCACUUAUAUACAAUGGAAGUGUUACCUCACAAUGUACACUGAUAAUAGCAUCUACAGUUAGUCCUGCUGCAGAGAACAUCCACAGUUGGUGAACAUUGAUAAACAUUUUAGACAGACAUAUUGAUUGAUCUGUGGCUGUAAUGUGUCAUUUCAGAACACCUUGUCAUUUCAUUGCCGUUUUCGGAGGCAAAUACUGUUAAGACAUGAAAAAUGUCAUUAAAGUUUUGUGUAAAGUAAAAAACAUUGUAACUAAGUCCUUAUCCUGUAAAUCCUUUAAUACAGAUAUUCAUUGAUAUUUUUUAUGUCUUUUCUGAUGGCAGGAAUGCUGUGGAAAUACAGUUUGGAAUCAUCAUUGUUACUCCUUCUUCAAGACCGGAAUGAUGGAAAGAAUUUCAGCAUGUACGGUCGCAACCUCAGAAGAUUUGGAGACGGCACUCGAUUUGAAGAUUUGGAGAAGAAACCGUCAUUGUGAGAGUGAUGCAUUUACUUUUUUUGUCAAAUGACAAAGGAAAGACGGAAGGUAAAGAAGUGUCGUCAUCCGAGAUUAGUAUGCGGUAUGUAUAAUGCAGUGCAUUUAUAUGUAUUUAUAUAAGUGUAUAUAUAUGUGUGUGUGUGUGUAGAUAUACAUGUAGAUAUAGACACACACACACGCACACUACCGUUUUAAAAGCUUUGGGUUGGAAAGUUUUUUUCAGUCUUUUUUUUUUUUUUUUUUUUUAAGUCUCUUAUGUCGACCAAGACUGCAUUUCUUUGAUCAAAAAUACAGUUAAAAAUCGAUUUAUUAUUAUUACUAUUAUUAUUUUGAUUCAUUAUUAUUUUUUCAAAAAUGAUUUCUUUUUAUUGUCAAUGGUGAAAACAGCUGUGCUAAAAUCUAAUAUUUUUGGAAAUGGUGAUUAAAAAAAAGCAUUUAUUUGAAAUAUAUAUUCGUAUAUAUUAAUAUAUUUAUUUGAAAUUAUAUAUAUAUAUAUAUAUAUAUAUAUAUAUAUAUUCACUAAGUGUAAGGUUUUAUAAAGAAGAUAAUAUUUUUUUUUAGUAUAUUUAACUUUUACUACAGCUUAAGAUAUGGUCAAUUAUACGUUUAUUAUUGCAUAAAAAUAAUAAAAAUCUGUGUCAUAAAUCUGUGGCCUUAAUU
ensembl:lncRNA